rnacentral:rRNA from 1 species
CAGUAGCCACGGGAAUACAGAGGAUGCAAGCGUUAUCCGGAAUGAUUGGGCGUAAAGGGCUCGCAGGCGGUUGCUUAAGUCUGAUGUGAAAGCCCCCGGCUCAACCGGGGAGGGUCAUUGGAAACUGGGAAACUUGAGUGCAGAAGAGGAGAGUGGAAUUCCACGUGUAGCGGUGAAAUGCGUAGAGAUGUGGAGGAACACCAGUGGCGAAGGCGACUCUCUGGUCUGUAACUGACGCUGAGGAGCGAAAGCGUGGGGAGCGAACAGGAUUAGAUACCCCCGUAGUCCCUGUCUCUUAUAC